rnacentral:rRNA from 1 species
AUACGGGGGGGGCGAGCGUUGUGCGGAAUCAUUGGGCGUAAAGGGUGAGUAGGCGGGAUGGUAAGUCAGAGGUGAAAGUCCAGGGCUCAACUCUGGAUCUGCCUCUGAUACUGCUGUCCUUGAGUGCGGGAGAGGGAAGUGGAAUUCCCGGUGUAGCGGUGAAAUGCGUAGAUAUCGGGAAGAACACCAGUGGCGAAGGCGGCUUCCUGGCCCGCAACUGACGCUGAAUCACGAAAGCGUGGGGAGCAAACAGGAUUAGAAACCCUAGUAGUCC